GUUCCAAUAAAUGUAUGCCAGUGGUUCAUAGACUACCAUCCCGUUUCAACGGGAAAACAAGAGAUCGAGCAUGCAUACGAGUUCGUAAAAAAGAAAUUCGAGGAGUUAUAUUUUCAAAGCUCCGGCCCUGAUCGAGUAGACCGAGGUCUUUAAGAUACAGGACCAAUGCUCUUGACCAGAAGCUUGUGAAGAAAACUUUCAAGCUCGUUGACGAGUCUUUGAGACGGAGAGAUCUAUUCGAGGCCGGGUUGUUGUGAACGAUGGCAAAGA